CGCCGCCACAGGAGGCUGGAGCGGAGGGGAGGAGUUACAGGGGCUCUAUCCGGAUGGACGCGCCGCACCGCCUGCUUUCUCCCGGGGCCUCUGCCCGGGAGUGGCUGCUCUCAGCGGAGCCCUUUGCUAGGGACCUGCCUGCCGGGCAAGUAUGCUCAGGCAAUGAAAAUGUUCUCCAUCUGUGCACCGCUCAUUAUAAACCUCAUGGAAUGCUGAGAAUGAAGGCCUGCUUUCGACUGGUGACUGCACCGGAGCUGAACAGCCAGGAAAAGGCCAGUGCUGUAAACAGAACCCUCUAUCCAUGGCAACGGCUGGAUUGACAUGCUGUGGACAGGCUAGGCAAAAGGCUUCUUCCACUCCUUCCAUCCCACACCAGGGAUCCAACAGGGGUCUCUCUCCACUCCACCCUGAAGCCUUAGAUGGUCAGCAUUGUAAAGGGGAAAAGCAAAAAGCUGUCUCAGCCUUAACUGUGCCUAAAGAUAGGAAACAAUCAAUGGUAAGUCGUAUGGAUCGGAGAGCUUCGUCGAACGUUGAAGCUUUGAGGAGGCAAUUGUCUAGGU